GCGGGGCUUCCGGGGGCGGGUCGGCCGGGACGGAGCGCCCGCCGUCAGCUGACCAUCCGCCAUCUUGUCCGCCAUUUGCGAGGAGCCCGGAGCGGGAGUGCGGGCCCUGCCGAGCGGGUCGCCGCUGCUGCCGCCGCCGCCGCUGUCCACCGACCCCCGCCGCCGCCCUGGCCUGGGAGCUUGCCCCGCCGCGGCGGCCGGCAGCGCAGCGCUCCGCGAGCGGCAGGCGCAGCCCCCGGACCCCCUCCCGGCUCCUGGCCGCGGGCCUCCCGGGGCCAGAGCCCGUCGGCUGCCGCAAUGGCCCUCAAGAUGGUCAAGGGCAGCAUCGACCGCAUGUUCGACAAGAACCUGCAGGACCUGGUCCGCGGCAUCCGCAACCACAAGGAGGACGAGGCAAAAUACAUCUCUCAGUGCAUUGAUGAAAUCAAGCAGGAGCUGAAGCAGGACAACAUUGCGGUGAAGGCAAACGCAGUCUGCAAGCUGACGUAUUUACAAAUGCUGGGGUAUGACAUCAGUUGGGCCGCCUUCAAUAUCAUAGAAGUGAUGAGUGCCUCCAAGUUCACGUUCAAGCGCAUCGGCUACCUCGCUGCCUCCCAGAGCUUUCACGAGGGCACUGAUGUCAUCAUGCUGACCACGAAUCAGAUCCGCAAGGACCUGAGCAGCCCCAGCCAGUAUGACACUGGCGUUGCACUGACUGGUCUGUCCUGUUUUGUCACCCCAGAUCUUGCCAGAGACCUGGCAAAUGACAUCAUGACGCUGAUGUCGCACACCAAGCCCUACAUCCGGAAGAAGGCUGUGCUGAUCAUGUACAAGGUGUUCCUGAAGUAUCCCGAGUCGCUGCGCCCCGCCUUUCCCCGGCUCAAGGAGAAGCUGGAGGAUCCUGACCCUGGGGUCCAGUCGGCAGCUGUCAACGUCAUCUGUGAGCUGGCCAGACGCAACCCCAAGAACUAUCUGUCCCUGGCCCCACUGUUCUUCAAGCUGAUGACAUCCUCCACCAACAACUGGGUCCUCAUCAAGAUCAUCAAGCUGUUUGGUGCUCUGACGCCUUUGGAGCCGAGGUUGGGCAAGAAGCUGAUCGAGCCUCUCACCAACCUCAUCCACAGCACGUCUGCCAUGUCCCUUCUCUACGAGUGUGUGAACACUGUGAUUGCAGUGCUCAUCUCGCUGUCCUCCGGCAUGCCCAACCACAGCGCCAGCAUCCAGCUCUGUGUUCAGAAGUUGAGGAUUCUGAUAGAAGACUCCGAUCAGAACCUUAAGUAUCUGGGGCUGUUGGCCAUGUCCAAGAUCCUGAAAACACACCCCAAGUCUGUGCAGUCUCACAAGGACCUCAUCCUGCAGUGUCUAGACGACAAGGACGAGUCCAUCCGGCUGCGGGCCCUGGACCUACUGUAUGGAAUGGUGUCCAAGAAGAACCUGAUGGAGAUUGUCAAGAAGCUUAUGACCCAUGUGGACAAGGCCGAGGGCACCACCUACCGCGAUGAGCUGCUCACCAAGAUCAUCGACAUCUGCAGCCAGUCCAACUACCAGCACAUCACCAACUUCGAGUGGUACAUCAGUAUCCUGGUGGAGCUCACCAGGCUGGAGGGCACCCGCCAUGGCCACCUCAUCGCCGCGCAGAUGCUGGAUGUGGCCAUCCGAGUGAAGGCCAUCCGCAAGUUUGCUGUGUCCCAGAUGUCCGCGCUGCUUGACAAUGCCCACUUGGUGGCCAGCAGCACCCAGCGGAAUGGAAUCUGCGAGGUGCUCUACGCUGCCGCAUGGAUCUGCGGGGAGUUCUCGGAGCACCUGCAGGAGCCCCAGCACACCCUGGAGGCCAUGCUGCGGCCCAAAGUCACCACGCUGCCUGGCCACAUCCAGGCCGUGUACGUGCAGAACGUUGUCAAGCUGUAUGCGUCCAUUCUGCAGCAGAAGGAGCAGGUGGCGGACAUGGAGGAGGCCCAGGCGGUCACCCAGCUCAUGGUGGACCGGCUGCCUCAGUUUGUGCAGAGCGCAGACCUGGAGGUGCAGGAGCGGGCGUCCUGCAUCUUGCAGCUGGUCAAGCACGUGCAGAAGCUGCAGGCCAAGGCCGUGCCUGUGGCAGAGGAAGUGAGUGCCCUGUUUGCUGGGGAGCUGAACCCGGUGGCUCCCAAGGCCCAGAAGAAGGUUCCAGUUCCUGAAGGCCUGGACCUGGACGCCUGGAUCAACGAGCCGCUCUCGGACAGCGAGUCUGAAGACGAGAAGCCCAAGGCCAUGUUCCACGAGGAGGAGCAGCGGCAGGCCAAGCACCGUCUGCCCGAGGUGGACGAGGAAGAGCUGGCCCGGCGUCGAGAGGCUCGGAAGCAGGAGCAGGCCAACAACCCAUUCUAUAUCAAAAGUUCUCCGUCUCCACAGAAGCGCUACCAGGACGCGCCAGGCGUGGAGCACAUCCCCGUGGUGCAGAUCGACCUCUCUGUCCCACUGAAGGUCCCAGGGCUGCCCUUGUCGGACCAGUACGUGCGGCUGGAGGAGGAGCGGAGGCACCGGCAGAGGCUGGAGAAGGACAAGCGCAGGAAGAAGCGCAGGGACAAGGAGAAGAAGGGCAAGCGCCGCCAUGGCUCGCUGCCCACAGAGAGCGAUGAGGACAUUGCCCCCGCCCAGCAGGUGGACAUCGUCACCGAGGAGAUGCCCGAGAAUGCUCUACCAAGCGAUGAGGAUGACAAAGACCCCAACGACCCCUACAGAGCCCUGGAUAUUGAUCUGGAUAAGCCCCUGGCUGACAGCGAGAAGUUGCCAGUCCAGAAACACAGGAACUCUGAGAACGCCAAGUCCCCUGAAAAAGAAGACGUUCCCGUAGUAGAAAAAAAGAGCAAGAAACCCAAAAAAAAAGAAAAGAAACACAAAGAAAAGGAGAGAGAGAAAGAGAAGAAGAAGGAGAAGGAGAGGAAGGGUGAGGACUUAGACUUCUGGCUGUCCACCACCCCACCUCCUGCCACGGUCCCAUCCACGGACACGCUCAGUGCGAACACAAACACUGACACCGCCCACAAAGAUGAGGUGGAGGAACCCAGGAGAGAGGCCCAGGACAUGGAGGAUGAAGACCAAGACCAAGAGAAGAAACCUUCCAAACAUAAGAAAAAGCACAAGAAGGAGAAGGAGGAACGGCCCAAGGACAAGAAGAGAUCCAGGAAGAAGCUGCCUGGGAGCGAGGAGGCACCGGGGGAGCCCAUGCAGAACGGCGCACUCGAGGAGGGGCCUCUCCCGGUGAGGGCCUAUGUCCAGUUACUCCCUCCUGGCUGAAAAUUCUUACAUUAAAAUGACCUACGGUGUCCAGGGCAGCCUGCAGGACAGCCAGGUCACUGUGUCCAUCAUCCUGGAGAACCUCAGCAGCAGUGUCCUCAAGAGCAUGGAGCUCAGCGUGCUGGACUCGCUCAAUACCAGGAUGGCCCGGCCGGAGGGCUCCUCCGUCCACGACGGCGUCCCCGUGCCUUUCCAGCUGCCCCCAGGUGUCUCCAAUGAAGCGCAGUUUGUGUUCACCGUCCAGAGCAUCGUGAUGGCCCAGAAGCUCAAGGGCACCCUGUCCUUCAUUGCCAAGGACGACGAAGGUGCCACCCAGGAGAAGCUGGACUUCAAGCUGCACUUCAGCUGCUCCUCGUACUUGACCACGACGCCCUGCUACAGUGAUGCCUUUGCCAAGUUGCUGGAAUCUGGGGACCUGAGCAUGAGCUCAAUCAGAGUCGACGGCAUUAGUAUGUCCUUCCAGAACCUUCUGACAAAGAUCUGUUUUCACCACCACUUUUCUGUUGUGGAGCGAGUGGACUCCUGCGCCUCCAUGUACAGCCGCUCCAUCCAGGGCCACCACGUCUGUCUCCUGGUGAAGAAGGGGGAGAACUCAGUGUCGGUGGACGGGAAGUGCAGCGACGCGACCCUGCUGAGCAACAUGCUGGAGGAGAUGAAGGCCACGCUGGCCACGUGCUGAGCUGCCUGCGAGCCCCACCCGGGAGCCCGUCACAGAGCAGGCGCCAGUGGACCCACAGGUCCACAUAUCUCGCCACUACUCUGUUGUGUGUACUGUACCCAAGCCUGAUGUUAAUUUAACUCCACCGUCGUCUGCUGUUUAGACAUCGAGGUUGUGUGUCGCAUUGAUUUAUUGGCCACCCUUGUCACCCAGACUCUCCCCACUCUUUGGCAAGAAGCCCCAUUCCAGUCCCCAGACCAGCAGGGGCUCCCCACCUGCUCUGCGCCCCGCCCCACGCUGGGGGCCGGGUCCUUGAGUGUGGUCUCAGCCACAGCCUGGGGAGCAAGCCUGCCCACCAUCUGGGCCAGGGCCUGGCGGGCACCAGGGUGAGGGAUGCACAGCAGGGGUCUGAUGGGGCCCCCCACCAUCUCCUGUCUUCCCCCACCUUUUCCUGUCCGGCGGCUUCUGUCCCCCAACAUUCUGACCAGCGGUUCUGCACAGGGGUGAAGGACGGUCCAGCUGUCGCAGAGGCCCUUCUCUCCAGAACCCGUGGUGGGAACGUGAUCUGCAGGACCCCGGGCCACGGGCCAACCUGCAGGCAGAGAGGGACUGCGUCCAGGAGGGCUGCAGUCAGCACCACCCAGGGGACAGGGCUGGGCCUUUCUGUUUCCUUUCUUCCCUGUCGACAGAAGUGUGUCUCUCUGGGCUUGGGUUGGGGCGAGUGGUGGCGUGCGAUCCUGCGUGCCCUCUGCUCCCAGCCACGCACACUGCAGGGCUCCUCCCUGUGUUGUCCCUUCGCUGCCGGGAGGGUCCAGGCUGGAUGAUGGAGGCUGUGUGUGGGGACUGACCUCCAGCUGGCACCUUGGUUAGAGCAGCCCCAGGGCAGGGGACCUCACCUGCCCGCUCCCCAGGUAGCCGCUGGGGCCAAGACUGGACAUUCCUCAAAGAUGAUGGUCCACCAUGACAUUUUAACUUUUCCUUUUGAUGAAAACUGUCACUUUAGCAUGUAGAAUAAUCUAUUACAGAAUCCCGUGCAGUGAUUCUAGAAUUUUGAAAUUGUAUGAUGUGUUACAUAAGAAUUUAUUUGCUAUCGACAUUCCCGUAUAAAGAAGAGAGAGACGUAUCACGCUGCUGUAAUGAUUUUGUGUCAAGGUGAUCCAAUAAAGCUGCAAAACAGA